rnacentral:rRNA from 1 species
UACGGGGGGAGCAAGCGUUGUUCGGAUUUACUGGGCGUAAAGAGCGCGUAGGCGGAGAUCUAAGCGUGGCCUGAAAGCCCCCGGCUCAACCGGGGAGUGCGGCUGCGAACUGGGUUUCUUGAGGACGAUAGAGGAGAGUGGAAUUCCUGGUGUAGCGGUGAAAUGCGUAGAUAUCAGGAGGAACACCCGAGGCGAAGGCGGCUCUCUGGGGUCGUACCUGACGCUGAGGCGCGAAAGCGUGGGGAGCGAACGGG